GAUGAACGCUGGCGGCGUGCUUAACACAUGCAAGUCGAACGGUGAACACGGAGCUUGCUCUGUGGGAUCAGUGGCGAACGGGUGAGUAACACGUGAGCAACCUGCCCCUGACUCUGGGAUAAGCGCUGGAAACGGCGUCUAAUACUGGAUACGAGUAGCGGCCGCAUGGUCAGUUACUGGAAAGAUUUUUUGGUUGGGGAUGGGCUCGCGGCCUAUCAGCUUGUUGGUGAGGUAAUGGCUCACCAAGGCGUCGACGGGUAGCCGGCCUGAGAGGAUGAUCCGCCACACUGGGACUGAGACACGGCCCAGACUCCUACGGGAGGCAGCAGUGGGGAAUAUUGCGCAAUGGGCGAAAGCCUGACGCAGCAACGCCGCGUGCGGGAUGACGGCCUUCGGGUUGUAAACCGCUUUCAGCAGGGAAGAAGCCGCAAGGUGACGGUACCUGCAGAAGAAGCACCGGCUAACUACGUGCCAGCAGCCGCGGUAA
rnacentral:rRNA from 1 species